AUGACACCCAAGCUUGCACCACAGCCCAGGUCCUGCUGAAUGGAGUAGAACUUGAUGCCUGUGCUGCGGUCCCAGAUGCUGAUGAGGUCAUCCAGGCCACUGCUGAUGACACAGGAGGUGGUACAGGUAAGGGAGGUGACAUCCCCACGGUGAGCAAACACAUGGCUGACCCGGCUGCCAGUCAGUACAUCCCACAGGCAGAUGGCCCCAUCUUGUCCUCCACUGGCCAGCACCAUGGUCUGGUCAAUGUACACGGUCGUGAUGGCCCCUGAGUGGCCCUGAAGGGUGAAGAGGCAGCACGAGUCCUCCAGACGGAACACUCUCAGUGUGUGGUCUUGGCUCCCAGUCACCAAGCGCCCAGCAGCGGCUUUCAGGGCUGUGAUGGGUUUUUGGUGUGCACAGGGCACUGUGUGGGUCAGGUGACAGGCCACUGUGUCGCUGCUGCUGUACACUGGAGAGGCAGGGGAACUGCCCCGCCCUGGGGUCCCUCUAAACUGCAGGGGGCUGAGGGCAGUGUGGGUCUCCAAGGAGAAGAAAUCAAGGGAACCGUUGAGCCGUGCAGCCACAAUCCUGGAAGAGAAGAACAGCUGCCAGGGGCCUCUCCCUUAGAGCCCCAGCCCUGGGGCUGAGCAUGUGGACAUGAGAGUUAAGGGCCAGUUCAAGAAGGCACAGGAGGGACAUGGCCAAGAGGAAAGCACAUGGUGCCAGAACAGAUGCUGGAGCCAGAGGGCAACUCCAAAUAUUAACCACCUUGUGCCUCAGUUUCUUCAUCCGUAAAAUGGGGAUAAGAGUACCCACCUCACAGGGUGGUCAUGAGAAUCAAGUGAGCUAACGUGUAAGGUGGUACCUGGUGAAUAUCACGUAAGUUUGUAAAUUAAAAACAAGCAGAGGGCUCCAUGUAGCCUGGAGCUGAAGGGAGGGCUGCUGAGGGGAAACAGGAUGCAGGGUGGGCUAUGUUGGGUGUUGCGGAAGCCUGCAUUCUCCACAUAAAAGCAGCUUCAACCC
rnacentral:lncRNA from 1 species